UACGUAGGGGGCAAGCGUUGUCCGGAUUUAUUGGGCGUAAAGCGCUCGCAGGCGGUCGUUCAAGUCGAGUGUGAAAGCCCCCGGCUCAACUGGGGAGGGUCAUUCGAUACUGAUCGACUCGAAGGCAGGAGAGGGUAGUGGAAUUCCCGGUGUAGUGGUGAAAUGCGUAGAGAUCCGGAGGAACACCAAAGGCGAAGGCAGUGUCCUGGGGAGUACCUGACGCUCAGGUGCGAAAGCCAGGGGAGCGAACGGG
rnacentral:rRNA from 1 species